UUACAAGUGUCACACGGAACUAGCCGGUCAUAAACCGGAGGAAGGUGGGGAUGACGUCAAGUCAGCAUGGCCUUUAUAUCCUGGGCUACACACACGCUACAAUGGGAAGGGACAAUAGGUUGCGAAGCCGCGAGGUGGAGCCAAUCCAGCAAAACUUUCCUCAGUUCAGAUUGCAGGCUGCAACUCGCCUGCAUGAAGUUGGAGUUGCUAGUAAACGCAGGUCAGCCAUACUGCGUUGAAUACGUUCCCGGGGCUU
rnacentral:rRNA from 1 species